CCUACGGGUGGCUGCAGUGGGGAAUAUUGCACAAUGGGCGCAAGCCUGAUGCAGCCAUGCCGCGUGUGUGAAGAAGGCCUUCGGGUUGGAAAGCACUUUCAGCGGGGAGGAAGGCGGUGAGGUUAAUAACCUCAUCGAUUGACGUUACCCGCAGAAGAAGCACCGGCUAACUCCGUGCCAGCAGCCGCGGUAAUACGGAGGGUGCAAGCGUUAAUCGGAAUUACUGGGCGUAAAGCGCACGCAGGCGGUCUGUCAAGUCGGAUGUGAAAUCCCCGGGCUCAACCUGGGAACUGCAUUCGAAACUGGCAGGCUAAAGUCUUGUAGAGGGGGGUAGAAUUCCAGGUGUAGCGGUGAAAUGCGUAGAGAUCUGGAGGAAUACCGGUGGCGAAGGCGGCCCCCUGGACAAAGACUGACGCUCAGGUGCGAAAGCGUGGGGAGCAAACAGGAUUAGAUACCCCAGUAGUC
rnacentral:rRNA from 1 species